AGUGAACGCUGGCGGCAGGCCUAAUACAUGCAAGUCGAACGGCAGCACAGCAGAGCUUGCUCUGUGGGUGGCGAGUGGCGGACGGGUGAGGAAUACAUGGGAAUCUGCCCAGUCGUGGGGGAUAACGUAUGGAAACGUACGCUAAUACCGCAUGCGCCCUACGGGGGAAAGUCGGGGACCGCAAGGCCUGACGCGAUUGGAUGAGCCCAUGUUCGAUUAGCUAGUUGGCGGGGUAAAGGCCCACCAAGGCGACGAUCGAUAGCUGGUCUGAGAGGAUGAUCAGCCACACUGGAACUGAGACACGGUCCAGACUCCUACGGGAGGCAGCAGUAGGGAAUAUUGGACAAUGGGGGCAACCCUGAUCCAGCCAUGCCGCGUGAGUGAAGAAGGCCCUCGGGUUGUAAAGUUCUUUUGUCUGGGAGCAAAGGUUGUAUGUUAAUAGUAUACAAAGAUGAGAGUACCAGAAGAAUAAGCACCGGCUAA
rnacentral:rRNA from 1 species